rnacentral:tRNA from 1 species
AUUAUUUUGGCAGAUUAGUGCAAUAAAUUUAGAAUUUAUUUAUGUGAUAGUUCACAAAUAAUA